GUAUAAUAUAUAGGCAAUCCGAAGACAGCAGGUUUUUGUAAAAGCUGAGCUAUCCUGCCGAGGAGAGAUUUAUAAAGCGAUUUAUUGUCUUUCCGUAUGCUUCAUUGCGGAAAGAUUUUUUAUUUUCAAG
rfam:Ruminococcus sp. CAG:724 genomic scaffold, scf14